CUGGGACCUGAGAAGCUCCAACCUUCUCUCCUUGGCUUUCAGGGACAACAAGGCAUUUGGAGAAGUGGAAGCAAUGGACAGAGUGGGAGGUCUCAGCUGAUAACAAGAGCAGAGACUAAGCUAACUCUUUCUGGCCGCUACAAAGAAGAAAAAGAGCCCACAGGAAAGGUCUUGAACUGAGAAUGGACCCGGAGUUUAAAACAGAAAUGCUUGAAUUAUCUCGUUAUGCCAUGUUAUCUACUUUGUGGACAUUCCAAGCUCAGCUGGAUUGUGUUGAGGCAUGAUUUGAAGUAAGGCAACACUGAAAUUGAUAGCUGUGAAAUGACAGCAGCAGAUGGACCUGGCUAGCAUGAAGCCAUCAAAGGUACUUCACGGUGCAAGAUAGUGUUCUCCACCUCUACCUCCCUUUGUAUUCCAGGCAGGAAGAAUAAGAAAGCUUUGAGGAGGAAGGGCUGGCACCUAUGCAAGGAAAGCAAAACUACGUAGGAAUUCCUGGUCAUCAAUCUCUGGCAAGGACCUUUCAGAGUGCUUGAUGAUAGCACAAGCACCAAGCUGUGAUGCAUUAAAAAAUGAUGAAUCUCUGGCCAGGUAAGCUCUGCCCUUUGGCUAUCCUAAUCUAUCUCCAUUUUGUUUACAAAUGGGUAUUCACUAUGCUAAAUGGCAACAGGGUACAUGAGAUUUUAUAAAUAGAUAAAAUGUUGGCACUAGCUAAUGUCAGAACUUAUCUAGUUGAAAAUGUAAUUGGAAGUCUAGGGAAAAUAAUCACAGUU
rnacentral:lncRNA from 1 species